rnacentral:lncRNA from 1 species
ACUCAAAUGGAAUUUGAAGUCUCCGAUGCUAUUCAAGUUCCAUCAAAUUCAAUGCAAGAUUCGAUCUUGACAAUUCCUUUAUUGCCACUAGAACUCAUCACUUAAAUUCUGUUGAGGCUUCCAGUGAAAUCCCUCUUGAAAUUCAGGUCUGUUUCACAAUCUUGACUUGCUUUAAUCUCUAAUCAUGUAUUUAUCAAGACUCAUCUUAGUUUAUCUGCUAAUAACAAGAAUACGGAAGACACCCACCAUGUACUUUUUUUGGAUAUUGGUGGAAAGAAAUGGAAUUACAAAGAAUGUCCUCUUAAAUCUUUAUUUUAUGACGCUGUUACCGUGGCUCUUGAAUUGGAUUUUUCCAUUGAAAACGACAUGUAUUGGCUCUAUGUUAAGGGUUCUUGCAAUGGAUUGGUUUAUCUUGCCCAUGAUAGUUUAGAAUAUUCCCUUUUAUGGAAUCCAACAACUAGAAAGCACAAGAAUUUGCCACUUUUUAGACCUAGAUUGAAAAAAUAGGAACGCGCAUAUGGUUUUGGAUAUGAUGAGCUCCAUGAUGAUUAUAAGGUAGUGAUUAUUUCUUAUAAUUAUAUUGUUCGCGAUUCAGAUGACAUUGAGGUCAAAGUAUAUAGUCUAAAGAGUGAUUCUUGGACUAGUGUUGAUUAUUGUGAUGAGACAUUCUCUAACAAAAAAAGUGUUGGUUAUUGUGGGGAUAGAUUAAUUUUUUGAAGGCUCUUUUGUGGAUGGAAAAUUUCAUUGGGGUACUUCUAUUUCUGAUCCUGAUCCUAAUGUGCGUAAAGGUAGGAACAUUAUUGCUUUUGAUUUAGCUAAUGAGAAAUGGGAAAAGGUGGAGAAGCCCUCCUAUGGAGAAGGAGAGACUGAAUUGCUUGUGGGAAAGUUAGGAAGUCAUCUUUCUGUCUUCUGUGAUUAUAAGACAACUCAUUUAGGUGCUUGGGUUAUGAAGGAGUAUGGAGUGAAAGAAAGUUGGAUAAAGAUGUUUACCAUCAGGUAUCCAAAUGAUCCAGAAUGGUAUCCAAGCUUUUUCAUGUCAAAUAAAGGUGAAAUAUUGUCGGUGUUUAGAGCAACUUCCAUGAUAUACAAUUUAAAUGAUGACUCAUUCAGAUAUUCAGAUGUUACUAACUGUCAUGACGGUUGAUAUGCACAAUUCUACCUUGAAAGCCUAGCUUGCCCUUUUUCAACCCAAGGGACAGAGGACGCCAAAAAGCUGCUCGUAUCAAAACAAUCGAGUGACAAAUAACUUGUAAGAGUACUUUCUUCUCAAGUGCUUUCAAAUUCUGUUUGUUAUUUCAAAUAUUAAACAAGACACACAUGUGAAGGAUCUCUUUAAACUAUAUUGCUUCUGGAUUAGUUUUGGUUGUCUCCUUGCUGCUAAUCGUUAGAUGUAUAUUUUCUUCCAGACGAAUUACUUGUCAUUCCAUUUUGGUCAUUUCUUUCCCUUUGACAGUACCACUAACACAAGCAACACUGCAAUGCAAGGAUAAAGAACUUAGGAGGCUCAUUUUAUCUGCUUUGAUCAUGAGGGUAGGGUGGGGAUACCAAAGAAAAAGAAUAUAAGAGAAAGAGAGUUCGGAAUGAACUUCGUUUGAGAGGGUCCUAUCUAUUCUAAGGUUUUGUAGAUUGAAGUGCAAGCUUUUGUCAACUUUGUUAUAUGACCUAGAAUUUUGAACAAGAAUUAUUCCUACUAUAAAUUCUUUUCUCUUGUUUCUACACAGACUGGCAAAUUUUAUCUAUAGUUUGACCUAUCAAUAAAUAAAAGAAAAAUUGUAUAUGUAGUUUUACCUUUUCUGAUAAUUUGUAUAUGGUUUCUUGCUUUGUAAAUCACUUAAUUACUCCUUUUGGGCAGCAUAAUAUGAUCAUGUGAUUGUCAUGAGUACUGCUUGUGAGUUUUCUUAACCAUAGUUCUUAUGAUAUUUAUUUAUAACAUAUAUCACUUGAAGUUGCACUGGUCUGGACAUCAGAUAUGCUAACUAUGGUAUAUUUGUUUGUUCAUUGCUUAAGUUGCACAGUUCAGCGCUUUUGUCAUGUCCCAGAUGUGUAGCUGGUAUUGAUAAAGAGCUUGUCAUUUUCAUUCAAACAAGGCGGACUGUUACUAAUUAUGGUUUUGUUUGCUAGUACAUUUGAACACAGGACAACCCUGCAUUUGGUGCUUCUAUAUCUGCUGUGUUUCUACUUGUCAUCAUUUGAGUUGUUAUUUAUGUGACAAAAAGUUGUUCCUAUUCUUGAUGUUGAUCUCCGAAAGAAGUUAUAUGUAUAUUUUGUGAACUGGAAGUUAGGUUCAGUGUUUCGGAUCCCAACAAGAAUGGAAGAUGGUGCAACAUAGAUCAUGGACGUUACUUCAAAUGGAAAAAACCUUAGCCUGCCUCACUUGCUUUUUUCACUACAUAAAUAAGGAUAUAAGUGAAGUCCGAUAUGUAUGGAUGAUGGAUGACACACCCAGAAUUGCUAGGUAUAAACUUAGAGAUUAAUUAUAAUAUGUUUCUUUCCAUUCCUCAUGAGCCACUUAUUUCUCCGAAACAAGAGAUUAAAGUCAUCUUUCUCCUUUUCCCUAAGAAGUCGACGGUGUUAAUUUAUUCAAGUUGUUGAGACCAUAAAAAAGGGAAGAAACAAAUGAAGGUCUCUUGUUAAUUCAAAUGAUUUUAGGUUAAUUUGAUUUGGUUUGUCU